rnacentral:rRNA from 1 species
GACGAACGCUGGCGGCGUGCCUAAUACAUGCAAGUCGAGCGGAGUUGUGCUUCGGCACAACUUAGCGGCGAACGGGUGAGUAACACGUGGGCAACCUGCCCCUUAGACUGGGAUAACUUUGGGAAACCGAAGCUAAUACCGGAUAAACUUAGGAAUCGCAUGAUACUUAAGUAAAAGGCUUCGGCCACUGAGGGAUGGGCCCGCGGUGCAUUAGCUAGUUGGUAAGGUAAAGGCUUACCAAGGCGACGAUGCAUAGCCGACCUGAGAGGGUGACCGGCCACACUGGGACUGAGACACGGCCCAGACUCCUACGGGAGGCAG